rnacentral:rRNA from 1 species
GAGUUUGAUCCUGGCUCAGAUUGAACGCUGGCGGCAUGCCUUACACAUGCAAGUCGAACGGCAGCACGGGAGCUUGCUCCUGGUGGCGAGUGGCGAACGGGUGAGUAAUGCAUCGGAACGUAUCCUGGAGUGGGGGAUAACGUAGCGAAAGUUACGCUAAUACCGCAUAUUCUGUGAGCAGGAAAGCGGGGGGACCUUCGGGCCUCGCGCUCUUGGAGCGGCCGAUGUCGGAUUAGCUAGUUGGUGAGGUAAAGGCUCACCAAGGCAACGAUCCGUAGCAGGUCUGAGAGGAUGAUCUGCCACACUGGAACUGAGACACGGUCCAGACUCCUACGGGAGGCAGCAGUGGGGAAUUUUGGACAAUGGGGGCAACCCUGAUCCAGCCAUGCCGCGUGAGCGAAGAAGGCCUCGGUUGUAA